GGCCUAGUAGCGUAAUGGUUAACGCGCCAGAUUUCGGUUAUUAUUGACUACCUCUGGAGAUUGGGAGUUCGAGUCUUCCCUGGGUCG